rnacentral:lncRNA from 1 species
GAAAAUUAAAUAUUUUAUCAUGAAUCAUGCAUCAUUGAUGCCAUGCUAUGUUAGGGUGCAUUGCAUUAGUGCACACGAAUAUGUUGCAUUGCAUUAUCCUUGUACCUAGCACUGCUCCAUGUACAUUGCUUUAUGUGCGGUACGGACAUAGUUUUGGAUUCAUUAGCCCUCGUAGGAAAGUCCUGGAACAGCCCUGAGGGGACCAGGCACAGGGUACUUCGGUACUAGUGAUUGAGAUGAAGUCCUGAGAGCUCUUUUGUGGGCCAGGCACAGUUUGAGAGAGUUUUGAUCCGUCAGGCCGAGAUGGGUGAAUUACUUAUGAUGUGAUGCAUUCCAUGAGAGCAUGUUUAUCACCAUGUUAUUUUCACUGUUCUACUCACUGGGCUUUAUAGCUCACCCCACUCCUUCCCCCCCCCAGUUUUGCAGGGCCAGAGUGAGCUGAGAAAGAUCCGAGAGAAAGAUCAGAGUCAGCAAGAGUAAAGAGUAAAGUCAGGGCUAUGAGUAUGUGUUUUUAAUAGAAGGUUAGUGGACAUGUAUCUUAAUGUAUUAUAUGAAGUUCAGUUAUGUGAGUUCUAGUUUGUGCUUGGCCCUAGAGUUUGGAUAAUCCCUUUGUACAUGGAUCCUGUUUUCUGUUUCUUGAUGAGAAAUGUGUGGAACCGAGGCUGACUUGUGAUAUGCUGACCCUAGGAGAGUGGGUUCUAUGUGUUUAAACAUAGUGCAUGCAGGUCAAGCUUGGUAGAUAAAAGAUAAAACUUGCUCAUGUAUGGGAUUAUUCCAGCUGUGCAGAGAGUUUAGCAGCUUGCUACGGGUCCCAGCGGCCUUAAGCCGAUCUGGAUCCUAGUGCCGGUGGCGGUUCGGAUCAUUACAGAGGGGUACCGGUUUCCUGGCUGUUACAGAUUGGUAUCAGAGCAUAGGGCCUCAAGAGUACGAUGUGCUGAGCAAAGACGCUCCGGGAUUAGAGGUGUCCCACAUCGGAAAGAGGUUGUUUAGAGGGCAAGCACAAUAGGAAGAUCAUGUCCACUAGGAUAGGUUGUGGAGUCCUGUCUUGUAUCAUGUUGUGGAUGGAUAUUGGUGGAUCCUCUGGCCCUCAGCAUGCAUGAGAUGACAUGUAUGAGUUGCGUAGACCCGGUUUGGCUUAGUUGCCCCUGGUACAGAGGAAGAGAGUCCAGGAGGCCGUGUUGCCCCUGGCAUAGUUGGGACAUAUCUAUGUGAUGGAUAUGUAGAGGGCUAUUGGUGACCAGUUCAUCCAUGAGAUGAGAUGCUUUGCAUGUGUAUGGGGUUCAUGUGUUACCACAUGGAUCAUAUGAUGAUAUGCCCAUAUGAUGUUAUGUUUCUGUGAUGCUGUGUUUUUGUGGUGCCAUGGUUGAUGUGGACUCAUGUGUAACCGUAUGGGCCAUGUGCUGCUAUGGUUUCUGUGUGUGUGCUCUUUUCUUAGCAGGCAGGAUGAGAGGUACUCGUUGAUCUACGGGAUUGACAGGAGUUUCUCUUGAGAGGAAAGGUACAGAUACUUUCCCCUGGUUCUGCCAAGAGCGCAGUAGUGUAGCAUCAGCAGAGAGGGUUCAUCAAGGGAUCCUAGGAGGUCUUUUGAGGUAGUCAGAGGUAGACUGGGCCCUAGAGGAUGUCAGCUGCUGUGAGAGUAGCAGAGUUAGAUGGUCAGAGAAGAGGUAGUAGUUAGAGGUUAGUGUGCUAGAGAAGAGCUUGAGAGAGUUGCUAUGAGAUGCUAUGGCCUCGGGUUUUAUAACCCCAGGUAUAGUGAGAGUUGAUCUCUCAGCUCUGAGUGCAGCCCCCGCAAGUAGAGUAAGUGAGAUAGAGCAGAGUAAGAAGAAGCAGAGUAAGUGAGCUACAGCAGAGUAAGAGGUAGAGAAGAGUAAGAGUAAGUGAAAGUUCAGGUAGAGGUUUCAGUUCGGUCUGGGAUUAGGUGGUGGUUGAGGCAGGAGGAGAGGGUUAUCCUGUUCUUCAGUAGGUUCCCGAGGGAAGAUCCGUCAGCUUCAGCUUGGAUCUUCACUCUGACUCAGCAGGAGGCUAUCACAUCGAACACGGUGACGUCAGGUACGUUCACUUGUGGGUGUUCGGAUGUGUGUGUUGUUUUUCUCUUUCCCUAUUGGUUUGUGAGCCAUCGAGGGAGGGUUUGAUAGCUUCUGGGCUUAGAGUGUCCUCUUUGGGUCAGUAGACCUUCGUGUGAUCCAUCGGUGGCAGAGUCAGUCUGCCAGUAUAGUUCAGAGCAUGGUGAGAGUAGAUGCCUUCCAGCUGACCUUAUGGUUCUAGAUGUGACUGUUUGACGUCCGUCUAGUGGUGGAUUGGCUAGCUACUUGUAGUGCUACCGAGUCUGCAGAGACAAGGUAGUUAUGUUCAGAGUGCAGGAUGGAUCAGAGGUAGUCCCUGGAAGGGACAGAGUAGGGGUGCCUAUGUAAUACCCGGCUCGAGUCCGGCCUCGGAAUUCCUGUCGUCUGGUGGAAUCUCGGGUGUCGGAACCCUCGAGAAGGGUAAGACAUAUAUUUUCAUGUGUGUUUUAAGAGUUUUGAAUGUUUUCAAGUGUGAAAGGAAAUGAGUUUUGAAAGAAAAGCAAUAAGGGAGAAAUGCAAAGGUUCGGCCGCCGAAGGUCACUUUCGGCCGCCGAACAUUGCAUGGUUUCGGAUUCACGUUCGGCUGCCGAAGGUGGUCUGGCCAGCCACCUAUUUAAGGGCCAAAGGUCGGUGGAAGGAGGAUAUUUCUCCUCCACUUACAGCCAGAGGUGAGUUCAAGCCUCUCCCAAGUUGACUUUCAUGUUUUUCACCAAAUCUUUCAAGGGUUUUAAGAGUUUUGGUGUGUUUUGAAGGUUUUGAGCAAAAAUAGCAAGUUUGGAAGUUUUGGAGCUGUAGAAGAGGUUUUCUUCAUAUCUCCACGUUAGGAUCACUCAUCCUCAAGUUCUUAAGGAGGUAAGGGUGGAUCCUGAACUUUUUUGAUGAUUUUUGAAGGUUUUAUGGAAGUUUGAUGGGUAGUAUGCAUGAUUAGGUUUAGGUGAGGUUUUUGGGAGAUUUUUCUGUUUAAGCAUAUUAAGCGUUGUUUGAUGUGUUUGUUUGAGGUUUAAGGAUAGUUUUGGACCUCUAUAUGCAUGUUUGAUGGUAUGUGCUAGUUGGGAGUAGUUGAUAUGUAUGUUGGAUAAGUUUGGGAAAAGGUGUGCAUGAAACAGAGCAGGGUUCUGCCUAGUGGGCAAAACCAGGUUCGGCCGCCGAAGGAAGGUUCGGCCGCCGAACCCCUUGUGGAGGCAGUUUCGGCUGCCAAAGCUUGCCCCUGAAACUUGGGACUUUCGUCUCUGGAGGCAAGGUUCGGCCGCCGAAAGUGCCGCCGAAGGUUGAGUUUCGUCUCUGGAUGAGACUUUCGGCUGCCGAAGGUGCCGCCGAACAUGCAUGAGUUUCGUCUCUGGAGAGGGGUUUCGGCCGCCGAACCUGCCGCCGAAAGUGCCCUGUCCAGCUUUCUUNNNNNNNNNNNNNNNNNNNNNNNNNNNNNNNNNNNNNNNNNNNNNNNNNNNNNNNNNNNNNNNNNNNNNNNNNNNNNNNNNNNNNNNNNNNNNNNNNNNNNNNNNNNNNNNNNNNNNNNNNNNNNNNNNNNNNNNNNNNNNNNNNNNNNNNNNNNNNNNNNNNNNNNNNNNNNNNNNNNNNNNNNNNNNNNNNNNNNNNNNNNNNNNNNNNNNNNNNNNNNNNNNNNNNNNNNNNNNNNNNNNNNNNNNNNNNNNNNNNNNNNNNNNNNNNNNNNNNNNNNNNNNNNNNNNNNNNNNNNNNNNNNNNNNNNNNNNNNNNNNNNNNNNNNNNNNNNNNNNNNNNNNNNNNNNNNNNNNNNNNNNNNNNNNNNNNNNNNNNNNNNNNNNNNNNNNNNNNNACCUGGCUGGGCCAGGCAGGCAGAGUGGUAAGACCUGGCCGGGCCAGGCAGAUUGAGGUUGUAAGACCUGGCUAGGCCAGGCAUCCUUUCAGUGGGAUUGUUGGUGGUCAUGUCUAUCCCUGAGAUGAUGUGCUGUUAUGCAUUCCAUGAGAUCAUGUUUUCAACUUAUGGUUUAUAUAGUUCUGUUCAUUGGGCUUGUAUAGCUCAUCCCUCUCCCCUAUCCCCCAGGUUUGCAGGUUCAGAGUCCAGAGAGAGUCCAGCAGGGUUUGCAAGAAGAAGAGUUAUGUAAUAGCUAGUGUGGACAUGUACAUGUAAAGAGAUAAUGUAUAAUGUGUAGCUUUGUGCUUGACUUAUCAGAGUUGUAAUCCCUUGUUGUAAACACAUGAUCAGUUUAUGUAUGUAUGUUUCUUUUAUUGUUAUGAAUAUGAGAAAACCAGGCUUAACAUGAUGAGUUGAUAGAUCAGAAAGAGUGCAUGCACAGGUUAAGCCCUGGAGAAAAGAAAAGCUUUUAAUGAUUUGACAGAAAAUGUAUGAUCAUGUAUGGGAUUUCUCAGGUACACAGACAGUAUAGUAGGCUUACUACGGGUCCCGGCGACCUUAAGUCGAUUUGGAUCCUAGUGCCGGUAGCAGUUCGGUUUCCGGGCUGUUACAAAUUGGUAUCAGAGCCCUAGGUUCACAUGGUCGGACCUAUAGCUAGAGUUGGGCUUAUAGAGGUUUAGUGGGUCAAGCACAAUAGGAAAACAUGUCCACUAGGCUAGGAUGUUAGUCCUGUCUAUCUGCUGAUGAUGUGCAAUGCCAUGAUGCAUGUGUUGUUUUCCUCUAUGUGUUGCUUAUGUGCUCUGUUAUGUGUUGUUUUCCAGAGAGAGUUAAGAUGCGAGGAACUCGUCGAUCCGCGAGAUUGACUGGAGUCCCACCUGAAAGUGAGGGUACAGCUGCUCGUCCUCCUGCAUUGCCAAGGGCAAGGACUCACAGGUCAAGCAGGGAGGGAACGUCAAGAGACCCUCAAAGGUCUUCUGACGAGAGCAGAAGAGGAAUAGGCAGAGGGGGAAGAUCAGAAGAAGAGAGAGUUGCUAUGGAGGAGACUCAGAGUAGAGAUGGAAGUAUGGGUAUAGGAAGGUCAGAAGAAGGUAUGGGGGAGUCCCAGGGAGGCAUACAGGCCUCGGGGUUUGGCUAUCCACCCUUUCCACAGGGCCCAGGGGAUCCGAUGGGAGGUACGUCGGAUUACUCCAGCUUUGCCCCAUAUCCACCCUACAUGCCAUAUAUGCCCUAUCCUUCCUUUUAUCCACCGUAUCACAUGUAUCCACCCCCACCUUUUUAUCCAAGUUCAGCAUCGCCUGAAGCCAGAGAAACAGUACCUCCACCACCACCACCUGAACCAGUAGCCCCUGUUGUUGAAGCACAACCCAGUUCUUCAGGGGGAAAUAAGGUGAAGAUGAUGGAGUACUUAAAGUUGGAUGCUCCUAAAUUCAAUACGGGAGAUGAUCCCUUUGAUUAUCUCAGUGCAGUCAGAAUGAUAACAAGUGAGUUGGGAGCAGAUGAGAGCAGGGCCAUUGAGAUGGCAGAGUUCACGUUAAAAUGUAAGAAAGCCAGAGAAUGGUUCAAGAACUAUGUGGACCCCAGAAUAGACAGUAUUUCAUGGGAAGAGUUCGCCAACGAAUUUGCUGGGUGGGCUUUCCCUGACAGUUCUAGGGAGCUAAAGGUUGUGGAGUUUGAGCAGUUGAGACAGACGGAGGAGAUGAGCGUUGAUGAGUAUACAGAUAAGUUCUUGGAAUUGUUACCAUACGUGGGUCAGGCGUAUGAUACAGAUCAGAAGAAGGCAAAGAGAUAUGCCACGAGGCUUCAUCCCAGGUAUUUCUCCUUGAUUCUCCACGCGGAGAAGGAGAGUUUCCACUCCAUUGUGGAUGCUGCUAGAAAGAUGGAGGACAGUGCCAUAAGUCAGGGUGUAGUCAAGCAAUUAAAGGCACAGUCUUCUGGUGCUAAACCAGGUUCCUCCUCACAGAGUAUGGCAAGUGCGAGCAAAAAGAGAUGGGAGAAAUUCAGAGGAAAGAGAGGCAAGUUCUGGAACAGGAUUAAGACGGGUCUGGGAAUGAGUAGCGGCUCCAGCUUUGGCACAGAUCUUCCAGUUUGCAAUAGGUGUGGGAGACCGCACAGAGGAGCUUGUUUGUUGGGAUCUACAGCCUGCUAUAGAUGUGGGCAGGAGGGACAUUAUGCACGGGAAUGUCCUCAGGCGACUUUGGUUGCACCAUCCCAGCAGAUGACCUCAGGUAGUGUCGUACAGUCAGCAGCUUCAGCCCGUCCACCAAGCAGUGGCAGAGGUCGAGGAAGAGGGGCAGCCUCUUCAUCAGGGAUGGGUUCCCGAGGUGCAGGUCCGUCAGCUCCAGCACGGAUUUUCACCAUGACGCAACAGGAGGCAGACACGUUGAACACAGUGGUGUCAGGUACUAUCAUCAUUGGGUGUUCAGAGGUGUAUGCUUUGAUGGACCCCGGUGCUUCUCACUCUUUCAUUUCUUCUAGAGCCGCAGAGAGAUUGGGGUUGAUUGUAUCCGAGUUAGAGUGUCCUCUCUGGGUCAGUGGACCUAGAUGUGACCCAUCAUUGGCAGAGUCAGUCUGUCAGUUCAGUCCAGUGUUUAUAGAGGAUAGAUGCCUUCCAGCUGACCUUGUGGUUCUAGAGUUGACAGAUUUUGAUGUCAUUCUAGGGAUGGAUUGGUUAUCUACCUAUAGUGCUACCUUGCACUGCAGGGACAAGGUAGUGAGUCUCAGAGACCAGGAUGGGUCAGAGUGUGUCUUCAGAGGAGACAGGAGAGCGACACCUAGGGGUUUGAUAUCAGCCCUCCAGGCUCGUAGGAUGUUGAGGAAGGGGUGUCAGGGGUUCCUAGCUUAUGUGAGAGAGCUAGACAGUCGGGUUAGGCAACCAUCCUCAUUACCAGUUGUUAGAGAAUUCCCAGAUGUGUUUCCUGAAGAGCUUCCAGGACUACCACCUGAUAGGGAAAUAGAGUUCGAGAUAGAGUUGAUGCCCGGUACCAAACUGAUCUCUAUUCCUCCCUACAGGAUGGCACCGGCAGAGCUGAAAGAGUUGAAAGAGCAGUUACAGGAUUUGGUAGCUAAGGGUUUCAUCCGCCCGAGUACCUCACCCUGGGGUGCUCCAGUAUUAUUUGUCAGAAAGAAGGAUGGACCUCUUAGACUUUGUGUCGACUACAGGCAGUUGAACAAAGCCACUAUCAAGAACAAGUAUCCUUUACCCAGGAUCGAUGAUAUAUUCGACCAGCUAGCAGGAGCAGGUUGUUUCUCGAAGAUAGAUCUGAGAUCCGGAUACCACCAGUUGAAGAUCAGGGAAGGAGAUGUAUCCAAGACUACUUUCAGAACCAAAUAUGGGCAUUAUGAGUUCCUAGUGAUGCCGUUCGGGUUGACUAAUGCCCCUGCAGCAUUCAUGGAUCUCAUGAACAGGGUUUUCAGGGAGUACUUGGAUCAUUUUGUGAUUGUCUUUAUCGAUGAUAUCUUAGUGUACUCCAGGAAUGCAGAGGAGCAUGCCCAGCAUCUGAGGAUAGUUUUGCAAACCUUGAGAGAGCAUGGCUUGUAUGCCAAGUUCUCCAAGUGCGAGUUCUGGCUAAGGAGCAUUGCCUUUUUGGGACAUGUAGUAUCAGAGGAAGGAAUAACAGUAGAUCCCAAGAAGGUAGAGGCAGUAGCCAAUUGGCCAACACCCACGACAGUGACAGAGAUCAAGAGUUUUCUGGGUUUGGCAGGCUACUAUCGGAGGUUCGUUCAGGACUUUUCGAAGAUAGCUGCUCCUAUGACCAGACUGACUAGGAAGAAUCAGAAGUUCAUAUGGGUAGAGGAUUGUGAUGAGAGUUUUGAAGAGUUGAAGAGACGGUUAACUUCAGCACUGGUGUUAGCUCUGCCGAACAGUGAUGAGAAUUUCACAGUGUUCUGUGAUGCAUCCCGAGUGGGAUUAGGUUGUGUGUUAAUGCAGAAGGACAGAGUGAUAGCUUAUGCUUCUAGGCAGCUGAAGAGGCACGAGCUGAACUACCCGACACACGAUCUUGAGAUGACAGCUGUUAUCUUUGCACUUAAGAUGUGGAGGCAUUACCUCUAUAGGGUAAAGUGUGAGAUCUAUACGGAUUAUAAGAGCCUGCAGCACAUCUUAAGUCAGAGAGAGUUAAACUUGAGGCAGAGACGGUGGGUGGAAUUGCUCAGUGAUUACGAUUGUAAGAUCCAAUAUCAUCCGGGUAAGGCUAAUGUUGUAGCUGAUGCCUUAAGCCGGAAGUCACUUGGCAGUUUAUCCCACAUAGCAGUAGAGAGAAGACCGGUGGUGAAGGACUUUUGCAGACUCAUGGAUGAAGGGCUACAGUUGCAGUUAUCUGGUACAGGUGCUUUGAUUGCACAGAUGAGAGUUACACCAGUGUUUCUAGAGCAAGUGGCUCUGAAACAGCACGAAGAUCCUGAGUUAGUGAAGAUUGCCAGGACUGUUCAGUCUGGCAACAGUGCAGAGUUCAGAUUUGACAGUGAGGGAAUUCUUCAGCACGGUAAGAGAUUAUGUGUACCAGAUGAUAGCAGUUUGAAGGAAGACAUUAUGAAGGAAGCUCAUAAUGUGAGGUAUAGCGUUCACCCUGGAGCCACCAAGAUGUAUCAAGACCUGAGAAGGGUGUAUUGAUGGCCAGCGAUGAAGAGGGAAGUGGCACAGUUUGUGUCAGCCUGCGAGACAUGUCAAAGGGUGAAGCUAGAACACCAGAAGCCGGCUGGAAUGCUUAACCCACUGCCGAUUCCAGAGUGGAAAUGGGAGAACAUCGCUAUGGAUUUUGUAGUGGGGUUACCGGCGACGUCCAACAGGCUAGACUCCAUAUGGGUGAUUGUGGACAGACUGACGAAAUCUGCUCACUUCAUUCCAGUCAGGAGCAACUAUUCUGUGGACAAGUUAGCGCAGGUCUAUUUAGAAGAGAUAGUCAAGUUGCAUGGAGUUCCAGCGUCGAUAGUAUCAGAUAGAGGACCGCAGUUCACCUCCAGGUUUUGGCGGAGUUUGCAAGCUGCUAUGGGUACAAGAUUAGAUUUCAGCACUGCUUUCCAUCCACAGACAGACGGUCAGUCAGAAAGGACCAUCCAGACCAUAGAAGAUAUGCUGAGAAUGUGUGUGUUAGACUUUGGCGGUUCUUGGAGGCAGCAUCUACCUCUGGUGGAGUUUGCCUACAACAACAGCCAUCAUGCUAGCAUAGGGAUGGCUCCUUAUGAAGCUCUGUAUGGGAGGAAGUGCAGAACACCUGUUUGCUGGGAAGAGGUAGGAGAGAAGGCUCUUGCAGGGCCAGAGUUAGUUGAGAUUACCAGCAAGUUAGUGCCUAUUAUCAGAGAGAGGGUCAGAACAGCUGUAAGCAGACAGAAAAUCUAUGCAGACAUCCGUAGAAAGCAAAUAGAGUUCCAGGAGGGGGAUAUGGUAUUGCUGAAAGUGUCUCCAAUGAAAGGAGUGGUUCGCUUUGGAAAGAAAGGUAAAUUGGCUCCCCGGUACAUAGGUCCCUUUGAGAUCUUGCAGAAGAUCGGGUCUGUGUCGUAUAAGCUGGAUUUACCUGCAUCGAUGGAAUGAGUUCACCCGGUAUUUCAUGUUUCUAUGUUGAGAAAGUUUGUGUCAGAUCCAGAGAAGGUUCUUAGUGAGCCUGAGGUGGAAAUCUUAAGCGAUCUCACCUAUGUCGAGCAGCCAGUGCGGAUCAUUGACACCCAGAUUCGAAAGCUGAGAAACAAGGAGAUACCAAUGGUGAAAGUCCUGUGGAACCACCAUAAUCUAGAAGAGUGCACUUAGGAGACACGGGAGUCGAUGCUCCAGCAAUAUCCAUAUCUGUUUUAAGGUUAGGUUUUCCCCAUUUCUAUGUUUUUAUGUGUUUCGUUGUUUGAGGACAUUCGGGGAUGAAUGUUCUUAAGGGGGGGAGAAUGUAAUACCCGGCUCGUGUCCGGCCUCGGAAUUCCUGUCGUCUGGUGGAAUCUCGAGUGUCGGAACCCUCGAGAAGGGUAAGACAUAUGUUUUCAUGUGUGUUUUAAGAGUUUUGAAUGUUUUCAAGUGUGAAAGGAAAUGAGUUUUGAAAGAAAAGUAAUAAGGGAGAAAUGCAAAGGUUCGGCCGCCAAAGGUCACUUUCGGCCGCCGAACAUUGCAUGGUUUUGGAUUCACGUUCGGCUGCCGAAGGUGGUCUGGCCAGCCAUCUAUUUAAGGGUCAAAGGUCGGUGGAAGGAGGAUAUUUCUCCUCCACUUGCAGCCAGAGGUGAGUUCAAGCCUCUCCCAAGUUGACUUUCAUGUUUUUCAUGUUUUUCACCAAAUCUUUCAAGGGUUUUAAGAGUUUUGGUGUGUUUUGAAGGUUUUCUUCAUAUCUCCACGUUAGGAUCACUCAUCCUCAAGUUCUUAAGGAGGUAAGGGUGGAUCCUGAACUUUUUUAUGAUUUUUGAAGGUUUUAUGGAAGUUUGAUGGGUAGUAUGCAUGAUUAGGUUUAGGUGAGGUUUUUGGGAGAUUUUUCUAUUUAAGCAUGUUAAGUGUUGUUUGAUGUGUUUGUUUGAGGUUUUAGGAUAGUUUUGGACCUCUAUAUGCAUGUUUGAUGGUAUGUGCUAGUUGGGAGUAGUUGAUAUGCAUGUUGGGUAAGUUUGGGGAAAGGUGUGCAUGAAACAGAGCAGGGUUCUGCCCAGUGGGCAAAACCAGGUUCGGCCGCCGAAGGAAGGUUCGGCCGCCGAACCCCUUGUGGAGGCAGUUUCGGCUGCCAAAGCUUGCCCCCGAAACUUGGGACUUUCGUCUCUGGAGGUAAGGUUCGGCCGCCGAAAGUGCCGCCGAAGGUUGAGUUUCGUCUCUGGACGAGACUUUCGGCUGCCGAAGGUGCGGCCGAACAUGCAUGAGUUUUGUCUCUGGAGAGGGGUUUCGGCCGCCGAACUUGCCGCCGAAAGUGCCCUGUCCAGCUUUCUUUUGCAUGUUUUAUGUGAUUGUUUGGGGAUCUUGUAGAGGGUUUUUGGGGAGUUUCUGAGCGGCAUUCUUGAGUUAGUUUGGUCCCUCAUUUGAGUCCACCUGUGUAGGUACGGACCAGAGGAACCCCAGAGAGCAGCAGUGAGCACUGUGUCAGAACCUGCCGAGUCAGCCAGAGGUGAGUGGAACUUCUCUUUUCAGAACUAAACUAUUUUGAGCAUAUGUCAUGCAUCAUAAGAGUAUAGUAGGGUGUUUGCAUUAGUUGCACGAAGUUGAUGCAUUGCAUAUACGAUGUGUAUGAGGCUGGGAAUAGACCAAGGCGACUCCAAUAGCCCAAACUCUGUUAUAAGACCUGGCCGGGCCAGGCAGCCAUCUGUAGGUAAGACCUGACUAGAUCAGGCAGCAGAGAUAGUAAGACCUGGCUGGGCCAGGCAGGCAGAGUGGUAAGACCUGGCCGGGCCAGGCAGAUUGAGGUUGUAAGACCUGGCUAGGCCAGGCAUCCUUUCAGUGGGAUUGUUGGUGGUCAUGUCUAUCCCUGAGAUGAUGUGCUGUUAUGCAUUCCAUGAGAUCAUGUUUUCAACUUAUGGUUUAUAUAGUUCUGCUCAUUGGGCUUGUAUAGCUCAUCCCUCUCCCCUAUCCCCCAAGUUUGCAGGUUCAGAGUCCAGAGAGAGUCCAGCAGGGUUUGCAAGAAGAAGAGUUAUGUAAUAGCUAGUGUGGACAUGUACAUGUAAAGAGAUAAUGUAUAGUGUGUAGCUUUGUGCUUGACUUAUCAGAGUUGUAAUCCCUUGUUGUAAACACAUGAUCAGUUUAUGUAUGUAUGUUUCUUUUAUUGUUAUGAAUAUGAGAAAACCAGGCUUAACAUGAUGAGUUGAUAGAUCAGAAAGAGUGCAUGCACAGGUUAAGCCCUGGAGAAAAGAAAAGCUUUUAAUGAUUUGACAGAAAAUGUAUGAUCAUGUAUGGGAUUUCCCAGGUACACAGACAGUAUAGCAGGCUUACUACGGGUCCCGGCGACCUUAAGUCGAUCUGGAUCCUAGUGCCGGUAGCAGUUCGAUUUCCGGGCUGUUACAGCCUAGAGGUUUGAUGUCAGCCCUACAGGCUCCUAGUUUGCUCAGGAAAGGUUGUCAGAGGGUUGCUAGCUCUUGUUGGCGAGUUCUGCAGUCAGGUCAGGGAAUCAGCCUCAGUGUCCUUAGCUCGCGAGUUAUUAGAUGUUACCCAGACGAGCUGUCAGGUUUACCAUCUGUCAGGGAGAUAGAGUUUGGAGUAGGAGUGGUGUCUAGAUCAAGAACCAUUUCUUUCCUUCCCUACAGGAUGGCACCUGCCGAGUAGAGAGAGGUAAUAGUCAGAGUAGUAGAAGCCGGAAGAGUAGUUGCUAGAGUUGGUAGACAAGGGGUUUUAUCCGACCUAGUACCUCACCCUGGCGUGUUCCAGUGUAGUUGUGAGAAACGAAGGAUGGAUCCUUGAGACUUUGUAACGACUGUAAGUGGUUGAACAAGGUCACUACCAGGGACAGGUAUUCCCAUGCAGGAUUGAUGAUCUAUUGGAACAACUUAUAGGCGCAGGUUAUGUUCCUAGAUAGAUCAGAGAUUCGGGUACUACCUGUUGAGAGUUAGAGAAGAAGCCAGUUUAGAUAGAUGAAGAGAGAAGGGCAAGAGUCAGAGUGCGUAGCGGAAGCUGUUGCAGUUCUGGAGACGUUGAGGUAUUGCUAGAGGUGUCUCCUAGUAAGGGUGAUUCGUUUUGAGCAGGAGCGGUAAGCUAGCUCGAACAUACAUCGGACCCUUUGAAAUCCUGUAGAGGAUUGGGGAUGUAUCCUACCAGUUAGGUUUACCUGCUUCGUAGAGGAGAUCUCUUCGGUUUUCCUUGUUUCCUUGAUUCUGGAGUUGUGUCGGAUCCGAGUGAGGUUCUGAGGUGGAGAUCUCAGGGGAUCUCACCUGUUUAGAGCUGCGAGAGUGGAUCAUAGACACACAGGUCAGAGUGUAAAGGAACAGGAAGUUCCGAUGGUGUUAGUCCUUGGAAUCACCUCAGUAGUGUUUAGUGUGCUUGGGAGACCGUGAGUUUUUACUCCAGUAGUACCAUGUCUCUUUUAUGUGUUAUGUGUUUAUGUUAUAGCUAUAGUAUGCAUGUCUUAGAGGAAGAACAUUCGAGGACGAAUGUUUUUUUAAGGAGGGUAGAUUGUAAUACCCGGCUAGCUUCAGGCAUCGGAAUUCCUACCGUCCGGUGGAAUUCGAGGAUGUCGGAGGUUUCUAGAAGGGUAAAGGAAAGGUUUUCUUACAUGGUUUUAAGUGUUUUUAUGGUUUUGAAUAAAAAGGAAUUGAGUUUUGAAGAGAAAAGACCAAGGAGGCUUUGGCCAGGUUCAGCCGCCGAAAGUGAUGUUCGGCUGCCGAAAGUGCCUUAGGUUUUGCCUCCGAAACGCCAAGUUCGACAGCCGAACGUUGCAUGGUUUUGCAUGCAGCUUAGGCCGCCGAAGGAGAGGCAGUUGGCCACCUAUAAAAGGCCCCUUAGCCGGAUUUGAGGUGAGUUUUCUCUCUCUUUUUGGGUAUAGGUGAGUUCUUGAUCUCCUUGGGUUGAUUUGUUGUUGUCUCUUCAAAUCUUUCAAAGUUAAGCAAGUUUUAAGUAGGUUUUAUGUGAUUUUGAAGAGUUUUGGAGCUUGGAGACUUUUGGAGCUGGAUUCUCCAUAUCUUCAAGUUUGGAUCGCCAAUCCUCUCGUUCUUCAAGAGGUAAGUGCAGAUCCUUAGUUUUUAUGAUGUUUUAAGUGAGUUUUAUGAUGGGAAAGGGUUAAGUUUGCAUGAGGUUGCAUGGUUGUGCAUAAUAGGGUUUAUGUACCCUUUUGGGCAUAUAGAUGUGUUUGUGGUUGCUUUUGGGGUUUUGAGCUUGUUUUAAGCCCCUAUGUGCUAGUAGCAGUGUUUAUGCAUGUUUGUAAGAGGUUGGAUGCAUGUUUUGGGUGUUUGGAAGGUUUGGGAGGCUUGGUUGUGCAUGAGGCUGAGUUCUGGAUGAACUCAGGUUCGGCCCCCGAAAGUAGUUUCGGCCGCCGAACCCUUGUAGAGAUGGUUUUGGCAGCCUAAACUUGCCCCCGAACGUUUGGACUUUCGGCUCUGGAAAGGACUUUCGGCUGCCGAAUGUGCCGUCGAAAGUGCCUGGCUUUCGUCUCUGAAGGAGACUUUCGGCCGCCAAAGGUGCCGCCGAACAUGCAUGAGUUUCGUCUCUGGAGAGGGGGUUCGGCCGCCGAAUGUGCCGCCGAAGGUGCCCUGUCCAGCCUUUCUUUGCAUGUUUUUCCAUGCAUGUUUGUGAUGUUUUAGGGGAGGUUUGGGGAGAUGUUUAGAGGUAUGUUAGAGUUGUUUGGUACCUCAUUUGAGUCCACCUGUGUAGGUUUGGACCCGAGGAACCGAGGAGGCCCCAGAGUUAGAGUUGGCCCAGAGUAAGCCAGCAGUGGCAGGUGAGUGGAACUAAACUUAAUGGUUUUAAUAUGGAAAAGUAAAUAUUUUAUCAUGAAUCAUGCAUCAUUGAUGCCAUGCUAUGUUAGGGUGCAUUGCAUUAGUGCACACGAAUAUGUUGCAUUGCAUUAUCCUUGUACCUGGCACUGCUCCAUGUACAUUGCUUUAUGUGCGGUACGGACAUAGUUUUGGAUUCAUUAGCCCUCGUAGGAAAGUCCUGGAACAGCCCUGAGGGGACCAGGCACAGGGUACUUCGGUACUAGUGACUGAGAUGAAGUCCUG